CAAAUACAUCUGGGGAGCCGGGGAUGACCUGGCUGAGAGGGUGCCACAGGGUGCCGACCCAAGAACCUGAUCUGGGUAAUGCCAGCGGAGGGAGAGUGAUUUAAGAUGGCC
rnacentral:ncRNA from 2 species